GGAGCAGAGCGGAGCGGUGGAGUGACUCAACCACAUGCUCCUCGGCCGUGUGCGGACGAUGCUGCACGAUGCAGCACUCCCGGGCAGCUACAGGCCGGAGGCUGUGCUCUACACCAACCUCCUGCGCAAUGUUUCCCCCUCUCAGGGCCGGGAGGCCAUGCCGUGGGCAGCUUAUCACGGCAUCCCCCCCGACGUCAGCCACCUCCACACCUUCAGCUGCCUGGCCUACG
rnacentral:lncRNA from 1 species